GACGAACUUUGGCGGCGUGCUUAACACAUGCAAGUCGAACGGAAAGGCCCUGCUUUUGUGGGGUGCUCGAGUGGCGAACGGGUGAGUAACACGUGAGUAACCUGCCCUUGACUUUGGGAUAACUUCAGGAAACUGGGGCUAAUACCGGAUAGGAGCUCCUGCUGCAUGGUGGGGGUUGGAAAGUUUCGGCGGUUGGGGAUGGACUCGCGGCUUAUCAGCUUGUUGGUGGGGUAGUGGCUUACCAAGGCUUUGACGGGUAGCCGGCCUGAGAGGGUGACCGGCCACAUUGGGACUGAGAUACGGCCCAGACUCCUACGGGAGGCAGCAGUGGGGAAUAUUGCACAAUGGGCGGAAGCCUGAUGCAGCAACGCCGCGUGCGGGAUGACGGCCUUCGGGUUGUAAACCGCUUUCGCCUGUGACGAAGCGUGAGUGACGGUAAUGGGUAAAGAAGCACCGGCUAACUACGUGCCAGCAGCCGCGGUGAUACGUAGGGUGCGAGCGUUGUCCGGAUUUAUUGGGCGUAAAGGGCUCGUAGGUGGUUGAUCGCGUCGGAAGUGUAAUCUUGGGGCUUAACCCUGAGCGUGCUUUCGAUACGGGUUGACUUGAGGAAGGUAGGGGAGAAUGGAAUUCCUGGUGGAGCGGUGGAAUGCGCAGAUAUCAGGAGGAACACCAGUGGCGAAGGCGGUUCUCUGGGCCUUUCCUGACGCUGAGGAGCGAAAGCGUGGGGAGCGAACAGGCUUAGAUACCCUGGUAGUCCACGCUGUAAACGGUGGGUACUAGGUGUGGGGUCCAUUCCACGGGUUCCGUGCCGUAGCUAACGCUUUAAGUACCCCGCCUGGGGAGUACGGCCGCAAGGCUAAAACUCAAAGGAAUUGACGGGGCCCCGCACAAGCGGCGGAGCAUGCGGAUUAAUUCGAUGCAACGCGUAGAACCUUACCUGGGUUUGACAUGGAUCGGGAGUGCUCAGAGAUGGGUGUGCCUCUUUUGGGGUCGGUUCACAGGUGGUGCAUGGCUGUCGUCAGCUCGUGUCGUGAGAUGUUGGGUUAAGUCCCGCAACGAGCGCAACCCUUGUUCACUGUUGCCAGCACGUUAUGGUGGGGACUCAGUGGAGACCGCCGGGGUCAACUCGGAGGAAGGUGGGGAUGACGUCAAGUCAUCAUGCCCCUUAUGUCCAGGGCUUCACGCAUGCUACAAUGGCUGGUACAGAGAGUGGCGAGCCUGUGAGGGUGAGCGAAUCUCGGAAAGCCGGUCUCAGUUCGGAUUGGGGUCUGCAACUCGACCUCAUGAAGUCGGAGUCGCUAGUAAUCGCAGAUCAGCAACGCUGCGGUGAAUACGUUCCCGGGGCC
rnacentral:rRNA from 1 species